rnacentral:rRNA from 1 species
UACGGGGGGGGCAAGCGUUGUCCGGAUUUACUGGGCGUAAAGAGCGCGCAGGCGGUCGUUCAAGUCGAGUGUGAAAGCCCCCGGCUCAACUGGGGAGGGUCACUCGAUACUGAUCGACUUGAAGGCAGGAGAGGGAAGCGGAAUUCCCGGUGUAGUGGUGAAAUGCGUAGAUAUCGGGAGGAACACCAGUGGCGAAGGCGGCUUCCUGGCCUGUUCUUGACGCUGAGGCGCGAAAGCUAGGGGAGCAAACGGG